rnacentral:lncRNA from 1 species
GAAGAAUCAGUAAUGCAGUAGUACAAACACUGCAACAACAACAUAGCAGGUUCAGCAACAGCCCAGUAACGGAUUAAAAAUCCAGUAGCAAUUUCCAGAAAAAACUUCAAACGGCAACACCCAAAUGCACCAAAAAAUAGCACCAACCAGUGUAAUCAAAUAGAUGACCAGUGCAUAUUUUAAACCAGAGGAAAACCCCGACUGAAAACCAACAAAACAGUAGCAAAGUUUUAAUAAUACUCAAAAGAUGGACAAGAUGAACUCUUCUUUGUGUGAGCUUAAGCCUUAGACUUUCAAAGAAGAACUAAAAGAAAAUGAUUUAUGUUCUUAACCUUUUAAGUUCUGAAAAUUUCUUGAUACCUCCAAAUUCUUUCUCUAAAAGUUUUCUUAACAAGAUUGUUCUCUCCUCCUCUAAGUGUCAAAUGACUCUUCUUUUAUAUCUAAAACAAGACACUCUUCCCUUUUCCUUUAAUUAUUAUUACUACCCUCUUUUUAUUAUUACCCUUCCAAUUACCCUCCAUUCCUUUAAUUUUCAGCCCCCCCUAAUAUUCUCUUCUAUGUCUAUCUAUUAACAUUUUAUCAUAACCCAUACUAUUUUGAUUUUAAUUAAGCAAAAAGUAGUCAACACGGGUUCCACAGUCUCCCCUUUUUCAAUAGUCAAAGAAGACCACAUUAUUUCCCCUCUUUACAUAAUUAUGUCUUGUCCCUUACUAUAUUAUUUAAAUAUUACUUUAUUCUAGUGAACAAAGCACUUAAAUUAAAGUAUUAUCCAAAUUUUAAAUUCCAAAAAUAUCCCCGAAAUUACUGAAAAUUACUACUCUACCCCUAUCAGCUAUAACCAAUUCACCUAAAUCAAUGAACCAAAAUAUAGCAGCUAUCAAAUUCAAUCAACAAUUCAAAUUAAAUCAUGAACAACAAAGAAACAACUGAAAUUAUUUUGAACAACAUUCGUAACAACAAACAUACUUUCAGAUUCAACAACAAUAACAAACAAGCAAAUUCAAAUCACUAAACUCAUAUUCAAAUUAAACUUAACGGAACAAUAAAACAAAUUCAACUCACUAAACUUAAUCAUCAAUUGAACUUCUAAUUAAAUCUAACAACAUUACAUCAAGAUAAAAGAUUCAAGUGAUUAAACUAAAAUAUUUCUAUAUUAAAACUAAACAAUUUCUAUAUUAAAACUAAACAAGAACAAAUGAAUGAAAACAAACUGAACUGGGAGUGAAACUUAUCAACACUCUAAAUCAAAACUAUACAAAAAAGUAAGCUUACUGAGAGUGAGAUAAAUUCCUAGGAUUAGCACAUGACACAUUCGACAUCAAUCCAUUUGACGAGAAUUACAUACUACAAACAUGAACAGACUAAUCGACAAAGUUAUUCAAACGACUCAACAAGUAUAACCCAUGACAAUAAAAAAAUAAACGAACAUGAACGGACUAAUAGACUAAGUUAUUUAAACGACUCAACAAGUAUAACCCAUGACAAUAAAAAAUUAAACAAAUAAAAAUAUUAAAAAUAGAACAUAAGGAGAGGAAAAAUAAAUACCUCACAAAAUCCAGGAUCAAACGAGCGUAGAUUCGAACCUCUUCUGUUUUUUGUCAUUUUUUUGUAUUUUUUAGGACUGUUGAUGAGCGAGCUGAUGGGGUUGACGAGGAGUGAAAGCAGACCGUUCAGUUGGUUGUUGUGAGGCAACAGGACGAUGAUGAUGGAGGUUGAGCGAUUGGAGUUGCUGUGCGUACAGUGGAGUCGUUGGAUGUUCGCUUUGCGGCGAACUCGACACCUGAAGAAGAAGAACGACAGUAGUCGUUCAGGAAGUUUCGACUGAAGCAGAAGCCAACGGGGUCGUUUGGACGUGAGGUGAGGGUGGUGGUUUGGACGUGAAAGGUUGCUCGUCGACGGGCUGGAGGAAGGCAGUGGAGUUGAUCGUUUGGCGUGGCUGGUCGACGGGCUGGACGAGAUGGCAGUGGGGGACGAUUGGGUUCAACUGGCAGGAAGAGCAGGGAUUGUUGGCGUGAGGCGACAGUAAGGUGGCGGCUGUGUUUUUAGGGUUCCCUUAGGGUUUUGUUGGUGUGCUGAAAGAAGAUGAAUAAGACCCUUCUUUGUUUUCAUUUUUGUGAAUAGUUGCUGAUGUGUGUUAAGUGUAGUGUAGGGUUUUGGUUAUUGGGUGGUGGACUGGGUCAAUGGUUUUGGGCUUGGGUAGGGUAUUUGUUGGUUUGUGCCUGUAACUUAAUUUGCAAGAUGGCCCAAUCCAAUUUUUCUUU